UUCACCUCCACAGAUACCAAAUAGGUUAUUGUAUAGUACGAUACAACAGAGGAAAAGAAACGGGGAAAUACUCUAUUACGAAAUAUUUAAAUGGAAAAUGAAACAUGCUCCAAGUGAAGUUCAUCGCUUUUGCGACGUUUCAGAGGACGAGCAAGUGAGGAGAGUUUUAAAUUCCUGGAUAAGAGAUGUGGAUGACAGGAGUUCAUGCCAGGCACUGCAGAUCCUGUUUUCUUUUUCUGUUCCUUACCAGCAAGCACUUGACCAUAUCUUGAGCUUAAAAGUUCCCAUUAUCUCUGCAGGUGCAGUGAGUAUUACUGUUCAAUGGGUAACACGACUUCAACAUUUACUAAUAUUUUUAUCAUAUAAGAUACCUAACCUUCCUCUAUUUUGCAAGUUAGUGUAUGCAUUGCCAAGUUCUGGUGACUUGUCGCAACUGUGAGUUGGGUUAGUCAUUUCAGGAAGCCACCAAAAAAUUCUGGAAAUUGUAAGGUGUUUCUAGAAAAGGCCAUUUAUUUCCACUUUCAAUGUCACAGGUUCCCGGAGGAAGGGGGUCAAAUGAGGCUAAAUCAUCAGAUCCAAAAUGGUCCUAACAGGGAAAUGGAUACUGGGAGUUUCUUCUUAGGGAGCGAGGUGCAGACAUCAUAGCAUUUGAUCAGAACACAGUGUAUCCAAAAGCCAUGAGAUACAUAGACAUAACGGAAGGUAGCCCAAGCAUUUUACAUGAUCAUGAAGACAGGGCUUUAUUACUUAGCUGGCCCGAUCAUGAAGAGGACUGUUCUUUUUCUCUGGAUUGCCUGAAGAAUUAUAAAGGAGGUACUAUCAUUCACAUCGGUGAACUGUUCGGCGAAACUCUCUCGGCCAAUCCCUGGGGACAAACUACAUCGCGUGCCUUUCAGCUGGAACUUGGAGAACGUUUCCGCUGCGUGUCACGUGUCCAGCUACCAAACUGGCCUGGUCAUAUGGACUCACUGACCGUUUGGUCACGUGCUUCACAGCCCGUAGAGUGCGAUGGGGCUGAAAUGGUGUUUGUCCGUUUGGAGAACCCAAGAUAUCUUGGAUGGAAUGUCACGUAAUUCAAUAGGACUGCGUACGCUUAGAAUAUUGUGCUUUACCUCUCUUAAUUUAUUAUCUGAGAAAGACAUUCCAAUGGGCAAAACCUUCCGGCUCGAAAUGCGGAAGAUUUUAUGCCUACAGUAUUUCACAAAUCGAUCGCGUGGUACAAAAUUCACAAGAAUGAGGACAUGUAAGAAAGAAAAGUCAACUUCACUGAUUGAAGUAACUUUGCUUUGAAUCUUUGGAGGCUGAACACUCUUUGGGCAGUAUUAAAUCUUUCAUGAUAGUAAUCAAGAUACAAUUAUAGAAACAUCACAAAGCAAAACUCCUACAUGAUCUGUUAUUUUAUUUUCUGUAUUAAAGACUACGGAAUAAACCAUCAUACUA